rnacentral:rRNA from 1 species
UACAGAGGGGGCGAGCGUUGUUCGGAAUUACUGGGCGUAAAGGGCGCGUAGGCGGCCAACUAAGUCAGACGUGAAAUCCCUCGGCUCAACCGGGGAACUGCGUCUGAUACUGGAUGGCUUGAAUUCGGGAGAGGGAUGCGGAAUUCCAGGUGUAGCGGUGAAACGCGUAGAUAUCUGGAGGAACACCGGUGGCGAAGGCGGCAUCCUGGACCGAGAUUGACGCUGAUGCGCGAAAGCCAGGGGAGCAAACGGG